rnacentral:rRNA from 1 species
UACAGAGGGUGCGAGCGUUGUCCGGAAUCACUGGGCGUAAAGGGCGCGUAGGCGGCUUGAUAAGCGUGCGGUGAAAGCCCGGGGCUCAACCCCGGGUCGGCCGUGCGAACUGUCGAGCUGGAGCACUGUAGAGGCAGGUGGAAUUCCGGGUGUAGCGGUGGAAUGCGUAGAGAUCCGGAAGAACACCGGUGGCGAAGGCGGUCUGCUGGGCAGUUGCUGACACUGAUGCGCGACAGCGUGGGGAGCAAACAGG